AGUUCUACAUAAGGCAAGUCCCAACCAAACAAAGAGAAAGAAGACAAAGCCCACCGUUUCUGACCCCAGAUCAUUCGAACUAGGGGAAGAGGGAAAGCGAGCGAGGAGAAUGGCAGAGGGAACGAAGGGGAGAGGAGGAAUCCCCAGGCCUCCGUCCUGGGAAUGCGCUGGAGGCUACCCACCCUUGGUGACUGGGGACCCACUCAGCUCCAGCGGCGGGAAGUCAGACGGCGUUCGUCCUCAUGCGGUUUCUAAACUUCCUAAGAUAAAUCCACCAGAGAGCGCAGAGACCAGACCCGGGCCUGGGCCACCAACGCUGGGAAGGUGCCCUGCGGCAGCAGGGCUGAAGCCAGAAGAGGGAUCCUCGACCUUCGGGCGAGUUCUCUCUGUGGGGGGAGGCGGGAGCAGAGGCCGGGUCGGGGGGAAGGAGGAAUGUCUGGGUCACUGGAUGGGCCCCCUCCCCUCCCACUCCUUUCUCUCCGCUUCCCUGUCUGGGUCUCCGCUGGUUUUGAACUUUGUUGAGA